UACGAAGGGGGCUAGCGUUGCUCGGAAUCACUGGGCGUAAAGCGCACGUAGGCGGAUUGUUAAGUCAGGGGUGAAAUCCUGGAGCUCAACUCCAGAACUGCCUUUGAUACUGGCGAUCUUGAGUCCGGGAGAGGUGAGUGGAACUGCGAGUGUAGAGGUGAAAUUCGUAGAUAUUCGCAAGAACACCAGUGGCGAAGGCGGCUCACUGGCCCGGUACUGACGCUGAGGCGCGAAAGCCAGGGGAGCGAACGGG
rnacentral:rRNA from 1 species